CUGCCACCGUGCCGCUGCCGCUAUUGCUGUCACUUCUGCUGUGGCUGUUGCUUCCCAGGGGCUGCAGGAGCAUGGACUACUAAACCCCACACUUCUUCAGCUUGAGUGUCACUGAUGAAGCUGCUGUAGUUAUCACCCUCUACCCGGUGCAGUGGCUUGGUCUCGGGCAGUCAGCUUUAACGUACCACUCGGCAAGCAUUGGUGCACAUGUCGGCUGCGAUGGCACUCAUCUCACUCUCCCUGAAGUUGGGGCAGUAGAACUUGGCAGCGUGGAGGACAGGAAAGCGCAGUGGCUUGCAUCCUGUGUUAGGGGAAGAACAAAUGCUGGUACCAUAGCUGUUGGCCAGUGUGUUCCAGUCACAGAAGGAAGCCAGGAGCCGCUGCAGCAAGACCUUGUGCUGCAAGCCUGUACUAAUGUGGCAGUGCCCUUGUCCUGUUGCACACAUUGGUGCCCGUCACGAGCCCCGGCUUCUCUGAGGGUCACCUUCAUUAUAAGCUUUGGGUUGCAGCGAUUGCCAGUCUGGUUGGUAGCUUCAGCUGAGAGAGACGCUGGGUCUUGCCAAACUCGUUGAACAUGACUGCAGGACUCAAAGACCACCUACUCACAGAGGGCCUCUACCUUCUCAGCCGUCUGGCCAAUGUUCAAUACACUGUAUACGGAUACAUGUUGUGGAUCUGACAGUGCUGCUCUUCUCUGCCCUCCUCACCUGCAUCAUCCUCUUCGUCUUCUUUGUUGUGGUGGAGCUGGGGCUGUCACUGGUAUAAGCACUGGAGGUACCUGGGCUGCUCAGCUCUGCCGUGCUGGG
rnacentral:lncRNA from 1 species